rnacentral:rRNA from 1 species
UGGGGAAUAUUGCACAAUGGGCGCAAGCCUGAUGCAGCAACGCCGCGUGAACGAUGAUGGUCUUCGGAUCGUAAAGUUCUGUUGCAGGGGAAGAUAAUGACGGUACCCUGUGAGGAAGCCCCGGCUAACUACGUGCCAGCAGCCGCGGUAAUACGUAGGGGGCUAGCGUUAUCCGGAUUUACUGGGCGUAAAGGGUGCGUAGGUGGUCUUUCAAGUCGGUGGUUAAAGGCUACGGCUCAACCGUAGUUAGCCUCCGAAACUGGAAGACUUGAGUGCAGGAGAGGAAAGUGGAAUUCCCAGUGUAGCGGUGAAAUGCGUAGAUAUUGGGAGGAACACCAGUAGCGAAGGCGGCUUUCUGGACUGCAACUGACACUGAAGAACGAAAGCGUGGGUAGCAAACAGG